UUCAGUAUCCAGUGUGACUUUCCCCGUGACCUGUUCCUUGUUUUCAGUGUCCAUAGAGGCAGCAUCUUGAAGACAGCAGUGCUACAAGGUAGAAGAAGACUGGAUUUCUGAGUUACAUUUUGAUUCCCUGCUGUUUUCUGAGCACCAUGAUGAAUACUAGAGACAUGACGAUAGAGGAAACAGCCGCUGAACUCAAGGAGCUCACAAUAAAGAAGAGAUGGAGUCACGGUUACUUAUUUUUGCUACAGAAUGUCAAGCCCUACGUGAUUGGUCAGAGUCAUCAUCUGCGAGUUCAGCGUGUCUGGGGUGCCCGGACUGCAGCCUGCCCCGGAAAGACAAGCCAGUGUUCAGGGACAUUGAGAUCAACACGGAAAGCUAAGGGCCACGUGUCCUGCGAAUGACACAGCGCUGCUGAAUUUACCAACUCUCAAAUGCUGUCACGCCACAUAAAAAUAAAGCAACCAAGGAGGGUGGUGCACAUCUAUAAUCCCAGCACUC